rnacentral:misc_RNA from 1 species
AACGCACAUUGCGCCCUUUGGUAUUCCGAGGGGCACGCCUGUUCGAGCGUCAUUUAAACCAUCAAGCCCAGCUUGGUCUUGGACGCGGUCGAGUGACCCGUCCGUAACCCGUUGGCGGUACAGUCCGGCUUCAAGCGUAGCAAAAAUUUCGCUUCAGGAGUCCGCGGCGGUGCCCGCCAGGUAAUUACAUCCCAAAGUUUGACCUCGGAUCAGGUGAGGAUACCCGCUGAACUUAA